GGCGGCGAGCGGCGAACGGGUGAGUAAUACAUCGGAACGUGUCCAGUAGCGGGGGAUAACCUGUCGAAAGAUAGGCUAAUACCGCAUACGACCUACGGGUGAAAGCGGGGGACCGCAAGGCCUCGCACUAUUGGAGCGGCCGAUGUCGGAUUAGCUAGUUGGCGGGGUAACGGCCCACCAAGGCGACGAUCCGUAGCUGGUCUGAGAGGACGACCAGCCACACUGGAACUGAGACACGGUCCAGACUCCUACGGGAGGCAGCAGUGGGGAAUUUUGGACAAUGGGCGCAAGCCUGACCCAGCCAUGCCGCGUGAGUGAAGAAGGCCUUCGGGUUGUAAAGCUCUUUCGGCGGGGACGAAACGGUCCGUGACAACACCACGGACUAAUGACGGUACUCGCAGAAGAAGCACCGGCUAACUACGUGCCAGCAGCCGCGGUAAUACGUAGGGUGCGGGCGUUAAUCGGAAUUACUGGGCGUAAAGCGUGCGCAGGCGGCUCCUUAAGUCAGAUGUGAAAUCCCCGGGCUUAACCUGGGAACUGCGUUUGAAACUGAGGGGCUUGAGUGUGGAAGAGGGGGGUGGAAUUCCAGGUGUAGCAGUGAAAUGCGUAGAGAUCUGGAGGAACGCCGAUGGCGAAGGCAGCCCCCUGGGCUAACACUGACGCUCAUGCACGAAAGCGUGGGGAGCAAACAGGAUUAGAUACCCUGGUAGUCCACGCCCUAAACGAUGUCAACUGGUUGUCGGGGAAGCAAUUCCUUGGUAACGAAGCUAAUGCGUGAAGUUGACCGCCUGGGGAGUACGGCCGCAAGGUUAAAACUCAAAGGAAUUGACGGGGACCCGCACAAGCGGUGGAUUAUGUGGAUCAAUUCGAUGCAACGCGAAAAACCUUACCUA
rnacentral:rRNA from 1 species